rnacentral:lncRNA from 1 species
GAGGAGAGUUGAGCAAGGGAGCUGGACUGAAAGAAGGUGUGGAAGGUUUAUGUGUAUUAACAUUGAAGGACAUAGAAUCAAGAUUGAACUGGGAGACAGACUGAACUUGUCUCUGUUUUUCAUCAUUGAGGAGAAUGUUAUAGACAUUGUCAAGACUGGGAGGAGGUUGCAUCAUUAACAAGUUUCUCCUCACCCCCAUAUAUGUCUCAUAAAGACCCAUGAGGAAUUGAAAUACCUUAUUCUCCUCAUCCUCCUUUAUAAUGCCAGGUCUGGCAUCACAGAUACAUCUCUGUCCAUGAUUUGGGCACAUUGUCCCUAACUCAUCCCAUAACCCUUUGAGUUUGUUGAAAUAGGAGGUCAUCCUCCUUUAUAAUGCCAGGUCUGGCAUCACAGAUACAUCUCUGUCCAUGAUUUGGGCACAUUGUCCCUAACUCAUCCCAUAACCCUUUGAGCUUGUUGAAAUAGGAGGCUAUAUAUAGGGGUCCUUGAGAAGAAUGAGAAAGUUCACGUUUCAGUUCAAAAAUAUUGGUCCUAUUGGCUGUGCCAUAUCUGGCUACGAGUUGUGACCAUAUUCUCUGUGCAGUCUCAGAGUAUUGAACACUUUCAGCAAUUUGAGGGGACAGAGAGGCAGUCAACCAGGAGAUGACCAUGUUAUUGCAUCUGUCCCAUAGUCUCUGUUCAGCCAGAUUAGUGGUUGGUCUAGGACAAGUUCCAUCAACAAAAGCAAUUUUGUUCUUAGCAGAUAGGGCGACUAUCACCUUUCUCCUCCAACCCCCAUAGCCAUUACCCGAGAAGGGGAUAGGAAUAAGAGAAAUUCCGGGGACAUCAGAAAAGAAAACAAAUAGGGGAUUUUUAGGGUCAAUAGGUGGGGGAUUAACAGGGUUCACAUCCGCCAUCGGAUACAAGAUAAUAGGGAUGAAAAAGAGAGAGAUACAAUAACAAUGAGCUACACAAUACAGCAACAAAGGUACAUGCAAGCCCUAAUAUAGUAGGAUAAUUGCAUACCAGGCUUCUACGCAACCGGAAAAGAUACGGACUUCAAAAAAUUGCAGAGAAACCCUAGCAUGUGAAGAAAACCCUAGCUUCGUUGUCAGGAAACCCUAGCUUGCAGAAAACCUGGUGGAAUCAAGAAUAAGAGAUGUCGGAAUAUCACCCUAACACCUCGUUGGAAGAAUCAGCAACAAAAUAACUCCGAUUUCACCAAAAAAAAUCAAAGAGAUGUUGGAAAAUCACCCUAGCACCUCGUUGGAAGAAUCGGCAACAAAAUAACUCCGAUUUCACCAAACUAUCAAAGAAAACUCCAGAAUCUUCACCAUGAAAAAAACCAGAAAUCACCACCGAUAACGGCAUGAACUCAGACCAAAGGGACGAGGAAGAUAGAGAGUAUGUCCAGGAGAAAUAUCCAGGCUCUGAUACAAUGAAAACAUGGUGAAUCGGAGUUGAAUCAAAGCUGGAAAGAGGUAAAAUAGAGAGAGAGAAAAUAGAGAGAGAAGAUAGAGAAAUGAGAGAAAACCCUUCUCUGUAUUGAAAUGAG